GUGUCAGCAGCCGCGGUAAUACGGAGGGUGCGAGCGUUAUCCGGAAUUACUGGGUUUAAAGGGUGCGUAGGCGGCCAUGUAAGUCAGGAGUGAAAGUUUGCGGCUCAACCGUAAAAUUGCUUUUGAUACUGCAUGGCUGGAAUCAGGAUGAGGUCAGCGGAAUGUGGCAUGUAGCGGUGAAAUGCAUAGAUAUGCCAUAGAACACCAAUUGCGAAGGCAGCUGGCUAGACCUGUAUUGACGCUGAGGCACGAAAGCGUGGGGAGCGAACAGGAUUAGAUACCCCCGUAGUCC
rnacentral:rRNA from 1 species